rnacentral:rRNA from 1 species
AGUGUGAUUAGGGGAUCCCAGUGCUCAUKCUUUGCAUGGGCUUUUGCCAAGAGUAAAUAYCUUGGCGAAUAAGUGGUGGGWAAGACUGGUGCCAGCCGCCGCGGUAACACCAGCGCCACGAGUGGGAAUCMUGUUUUAUUGGGCCUAAAGCGUCCGUAGCCGGCUARGUAAAUCUUUUGUGAAAUCGUCGGGCUUAACCUGACGGCGUGCMGAAGACACUGSUGUACUUCGAGACCGGGAGGAGCUCAGAGGUAUUCCAGGGGGAGCGGUAAAAUGUUAGAUAAWCCCUGGAGGACUACCUGUGGCGAAGGCGUCUGACUAKAACGGAUCUGACGGUGAGGGACGAAAGCYAGGGGAGCGAUCCGGAUUAGAUACCCGAGUAGUCCUGGCCGUAAACGCUGUGAGCUAGGUGUUGCAUAUUCUACSAGUAUGUGCAGUGUCGAAGCGAAGGUGAUAAGCUCACCGCCUGGGAAGUACGU